UACGUAGGGUGCGAGCGUUAAUCGGAAUUACUGGGCGUAAAGAGCGCGCAGGCGGUCGUGCAAGUCGCGUGUGAAAGCCCCCGGCUCAACUGGGGAGGGUCACGCGAUACUGAUCGACUCGAAGGCAGGAGAGGGUAGUGGAAUUCCCGGUGUAGUGGUGAAAUGCAUAGAUACAAUCAAGAACUCCGAUUGCGUAGGCAGCUAACUAGGCUGUAACUGACGCUGAGGCACGAAAGCGUGGGGAGCGAACAGGG
rnacentral:rRNA from 1 species